CCUGCACGUGGUAUUUUGUGAAAGAGCCACACUCAAGGGGCCAAAGAGCCGCAUGUGGUUCGCGAGCCAAGGUUUGCCGACCGCUGGUCUAGGGGAGGCGGCCCCCUGGA